UACGUAGGCAGCGGGCGUUGUUCGGAGUUACUGGGCGUAAAGGGUGCGUAGGCGGUUGUUUAAGUUUGGUGUGAAAUCUCCCGGCUCAACUGGGAGGGUGCGCCGAAUACUGAAUGACUAGAGUGCGGGAGAGGAUAGUGGAAUUCCUGGUGUAGCGGUGAAAUGCGCAGAUAUCGGGAAGAACACCCGUGGCGAAGGCGGCUCUCUGGGACGGUACUGACGCUGAGACGCGAAAGCGUGGGGAGCGAACAGG
rnacentral:rRNA from 1 species